rnacentral:rRNA from 1 species
UUAAGCGACUAAGCGUACACGGUGGAUGCCCUGGCAGUCAGAGGCGAUGAAGGACGUGCUAAUCUGCGAAAAGCGUCGGUAAGGUGAUAUGAACCGUUAUAACCGGCGAUGUCCGAAUGGGGAAACCCAGUGUGAUUCGUCACACUAUCGUUAACUGAAUACAUAGGUUAACGAGGCGAACCGGGGGAACUGAAACAUCUAAGUACCCCGAGGAAAAGAAAUCAACCGAGAUUCCCCCAGUAGCGGCGAGCGAACGGGGAGCAGCCCAGAGUCUGAAUCAGCUUGUGUGUUAGUGGAACGGUCUGGAAAGUCCGACGGUACAGGGUGAUAGUCCCGUACACCAAAAUGCACAGGCUGUGAACUCGAAGAGUAGGGCGGGACACGUGGUAUCCUGUCUGAAUAUGGGGGGACCAUCCUCCAAGGCUAAAUACUCCUGACUGACCGAUAGUGAACCAGUACCGUGAGGGAAAGGCGAAAAGAACCCCGGCGAGGGGAGUGAAAAAGAACCUGAAACCGUGUACGUACAAGCAGUGGGAGCACCUUCGGGUGUGACUGCGUACCUUUUGUAUAAUGGGUCAGCGACUUAUAUUCUGUAGCAAGGUUAACCGUAUAGGGGAGCCGCAGGGAAACCGAGUCUUAACUGGGCGUUAAGUUGCAGGGUAUAGACCCGAAACCCGGUGAUCUAGCCAUGGGCAGGUUGAAGGUUGGGUAACACUAACUGGAGGACCGAACCGACUAAUGUUGAAAAAUUAGCGGAUGACUUGUGGCUGGGGGUGAAAGGCCAAUCAAACCGGGAGAUAGCUGGUUCUCCCCGAAAGCUAUUUAGGUAGCGCCUCGUGAAUUCAUCUUCGGGGGUAGAGCACUGUUUCGGCUAGGGGGUCAUCCCGACUUACCAACCCGAUGCAAACUACGAAUACCGAAGAAUGUUAUCACGGGAGACACACGGCGGGUGCUAACGUCCGUCGUGAAGAGGGAAACAACCCAGACCGCCAGCUAAGGUCCCAAAGUCAUGGUUAAGUGGGAAACGAUGUGGGAAGGCACAGACAGCCAGGAUGUUGGCUUAGAAGCAGCCAUCAUUUAAAGAAAGCGUAAUAGCUCACUGGUCGAGUCGGCCUGCGCGGAAGAUGUAACGGGGCUAAACCAUGCACCGAAGCUGCGGCAGCGACACUAUGUGUUGUUGGGUAGGGGAGCGUUCUGUAAGCCUGCGAAGGUGACCUGUGAGGGUUGCUGGAGGUAUCAGAAGUGCGAAUGCUGACAUAAGUAACGAUAAAGCGGGUGAAAAGCCCGCUCGCCGGAAGACCAAGGGUUCCUGUCCAACGUUAAUCGGGGCAGGGUGAGUCGACCCCUAAGGCGAGGCCGAAAGGCGUAGUCGAUGGGAAACAGGUUAAUAUUCCUGUACUUGGUGUUACUGCGAAGGGGGGACGGAGAAGGCUAUGUUAGCCGGGCGACGGUUGUCCCGGUUUAAGCAUGUAGGCUGGUUGUCCAGGCAAAUCCGGAUAAUCAAGGCUGAGGUGUGAUGACGAGGCACUACGGUGCUGAAGUAACAAAUGCCCUGCUUCCAGGAAAAGCCUCUAAGCAUCAGGUAACAUCAAAUCGUACCCCAAACCGACACAGGUGGUCAGGUAGAGAAUACCAAGGCGCUUGAGAGAACUCGGGUGAAGGAACUAGGCAAAAUGGUGCCGUAACUUCGGGAGAAGGCACGCUGGUGUGUAGGUGAAGUCCCUGCGGAUGGAGCUGAGACCAGUCGAAGAUACCAGCUGGCUGCAACUGUUUAUUAAAAACACAGCACUGUGCAAACACGAAAGUGGACGUAUACGGUGUGACGCCUGCCCGGUGCCGGAAGGUUAAUUGAUGGGGUUAUCCGUAAGGAGAAGCUCUUGAUCGAAGCCCCGGUAAACGGCGGCCGUAACUAUAACGGUCCUAAGGUAGCGAAAUUCCUUGUCGGGUAAGUUCCGACCUGCACGAAUGGCGUAAUGAUGGCCAGGCUGUCUCCACCCGAGACUCAGUGAAAUUGAACUCGCUGUGAAGAUGCAGUGUACCCGCGGCAAGACGGAAAGACCCCGUGAACCUUUACUAUAGCUUGACACUGAACAUUGAGCCUUGAUGUGUAGGAUAGGUGGGAGGCUUUGAAGCGUGGACGCCAGUCUGCGUGGAGCCAACCUUGAAAUACCACCCUUUAAUGUUUGAUGUUCUAACGUUGGCCCCUUACCGGGGUUGCGGACAGUGUCUGGUGGGUAGUUUGACUGGGGCGGUCUCCUCCCAAAGCGUAACGGAGGAGCACGAAGGUUAGCUAAUCCUGGUCGGACAUCAGGAGGUUAGUGCAAUGGCAUAAGCUAGCUUGACUGCGAGCGUGACGGCGCGAGCAGGUGCGAAAGCAGGUCAUAGUGAUCCGGUGGUUCUGAAUGGAAGGGCCAUCGCUCAACGGAUAAAAGGUACUCCGGGGAUAACAGGCUGAUACCGCCCAAGAGUUCAUAUCGACGGCGGUGUUUGGCACCUCGAUGUCGGCUCAUCACAUCCUGGGGCUGAAGUAGGUCCCAAGGGUAUGGCUGUUCGCCAUUUAAAGUGGUACGCGAGCUGGGUUUAGAACGUCGUGAGACAGUUCGGUCCCUAUCUGCCGUGGGCGCUGGAGAAUUGAGGGGGGCUGCUCCUAGUACGAGAGGACCGGAGUGGACGCAUCACUGGUGUUCGGGUUGUCAUGCCAAUGGCACUGCCCGGUAGCUAAAUGCGGAAGAGAUAAGUGCUGAAAGCAUCUAAGCACGAAACUUGCCCCGAGAUGAGUUCUCCCUGAGACUUUAAGUCUCCUGAAGGAACGUUGAAGACGACGACGUUGAUAGGCCGGGUGUGUAAGCGCAGCGAUGCGUUGAGCUAACCGGUACUAAUGAACCGUGAGGCUUAACCU